AGCGAACGCUGGCGGCAGGCUUAACACAUGCAAGUCGAGCGGGCAUAGCAAUAUGUCAGCGGCAGACGGGUGAGUAACGCGUGGGAACGUACCUUUUGGUUCGGAACAACACAGGGAAACUUGUGCUAAUACCGGAUAAGCCCUUACGGGGAAAGGUUUAUCGCCGAAAGAUCGGCCCGCGUCUGAUUAGCUAGUUGGUGAGGUAAUGGCUCACCAAGGCGACGAUCAGUAGCUGGUCUGAGAGGAUGAUCAGCCACAUUGGGACUGAGACACGGCCCAAACUCCUACGGGAGGCAGCAGUGGGGAAUAUUGGACAAUGGGCGCAAGCCUGAUCCAGCCAUGCCGCGUGAGUGAUGAAGGCCCUAGGGUUGUAAAGCUCUUUUGUGCGGGAAGAUAAUGACGGUACCGCAAGAAUAAGCCCCGGCUAACUUCGUGCCAGCAGCCGCGGUAAUACGAAGGGGGCUAGCGUUGCUCGGAAUCACUGGGCGUAAAGGGUGCGUAGGCGGGUCUUUAAGUCAGGGGUGAAAUCCUGGAGCUCAACUCCAGAACUGCCUUUGAUACUGAAGAUCUUGAGUUCGGGAGAGGUGAGUGGAACUGCGAGUGUAGAGGUGAAAUUCGUAGAUAUUCGCAAGAACACCAGUGGCGAAGGCGGCUCACUGGCCCGAUACUGACGCUGAGGCACGAAAGCGUGGGGAGCAAACAGG
rnacentral:rRNA from 1 species